UUAUGGGGAACCACUAGUAGAGGGUCAAUGAUAUUUGGUAUGCAGCUGUAUACACAUUAGCACAUCUCAUUACCAUGGAGAAUAUUUGGCCCUUCCCCUCUCGGUCAUGGUCUAUUGACUUUGAAACAUUUGCUUAGUUUAUAUGUAUUAGUUUGUGAUUAGAUCAGUUUUAAAUGAUAUUCGGUAUACAACUUUUUUGGCAUUUCCAUGUCUUAUUUCCAUGGAGAUUAUAAACCCCACUCCCCUCAUCAUGGUACAUUGACUUUGAAACUUUUACCUAGUUUAUAAGUUUAUGUUUGUGUUUUGGUUUGUUUUAAUAAAAUGUUCAACAUUUGCACUAUUAAAAUUACAAAAAGGCGAG
rnacentral:lncRNA from 1 species